UGGCGAGGAAGAUAACAAUCUGCACUGCUCUACGGAAGAUUACAACUUGUACUUGCCACUAUACAGAGCUUCACUGAGCGGGAAUUGGAAGGAAGCAAGACCAUUCUUUACUGGAGAGAAUAAAGCAAGCAGAGUUGUGCUCAACUCCUUCUUACAGACAUCACUACAUGUCGCGGUUGGCUCAAAGAAUGAUAAUGCCAAGCAUUUCAUUGAGAAAUUGGUGGAGUCGAUGCCCGACGAUCCCUUGGACAUGAAAGACCAUUAUGGAGAUACUCCUCUUCACUAUGCUGCUGGAUUUGGCAACUUAGAUGCAGCUAAAAUCCUUGUUCCCCGAAAUAAGCAUUUGCCUAAUAUUGUUUUCCAAUCCAUGAAGCAGCUGAUUAUGCCUACAUUUCUGCGGAUGUGUAUAUUUAUCUCUUGAGUGUCACCACGGUUCGUGAUCCUUUUAAUGGCUCCAGUGGCAUUAGGCUUCUUCGUAGAUUACUCCAUUCGAACAAGUGCGAUUUAGCUACAGAGUUGGUCGAACAACAUCCUGAUUUGGCCAUACAUGACCCACAUCAAGAUUCUGCUUUGGCGGAGCUAGCUACAAAGGAAUUUUCACUCCUUCGUGGACAUCGUUUAAGCAUUUGGCAACGAUUACUCUUCUGUUAUGUUCCUAUCAGAUCGACUUCCAGGGGUCAAAAAAAAAAAAUACCAACUGACAUCGAGAACGUAACAAAUGAACCACAAAUGUUUAAGCCAAAAAAUUGCUGGCUUUCACCAAUUUGUGAUCGGAUUUACUU